ACUCCAGUGACUGCCUCUCAGAAAAGAACAGGGCAAUGUCCAUUCUCCUUUUAUUUUCUUUAAGCACCUGAUCAUUCUAAAAGCAUGUGUUCCUCCGUGUGUGUGAGUUGUGUACACGUGUGUGUGUGUUCCUUUCUUUUCUCGGACUCCAGGCUCAUGACUGCUUAUUUGCAUGGUGUUUUGGUGUCAAAGGAGUGUUGAAUGUGUUCUCCACACACCCAGCUUUAUUCCACUCUAGGAGUUUAACUUCUUCAGCAUUGUUAUGAGGUCCCCGGUGACCUCAGUUUCUCCUCUCCGCGUCAUCCAGGACUUCACCUGAAGCUUGAGCUACACGUAAGACUUCAUCUACCUUGCACAGGGCAAUGGAGAGAGGAUGGCAUACCAGAAUCACCAGAUGACAGACAUCGGGGUGCUGUCGGACCCGGGAAUCAGAACCUCUGCAGAUAGAUAUUUUGGAAGGCGCUCCCUAGAUUGGCACCUCUGGUUAGAACCCUGCCCAGGGACUGGACAAGUUGGGCCCAUGGCUCAUAUCUGGCCAGUGUUCAUUGCUUUGUUGAAUCACACUUAAUCCUUUGGUUUUGGUAGAUUCCUGCAAGUAGACUGACAGCUGCAUGUUUGCAGGAAAGUUAAAUAUUUUGACAGCGCAGAAGACUGCUGCAUCUGGAGGGUUCUGGGUCCAGCUAUAACCAGACUUGCCUGUCCUAAACAAAUGGAUUGACUGCUUCCGGCAUCCUCACUUUACUUCUGCAUGGUGACCAACAUCCGGAGCUUAAUUACCUGACAGCCAGGAGGUAGGGGGCAAAGGAAACCUUUUAAUUUAUAGUAAGAAGUGAUCAGUUCCUUUUUUGGGUCUUAGUUAGAAUCCAGGUGCACUUGAAACAAUAAAACCUUGUAUAUAGUUUUCUCCUAUAAGAAACUUCUCAGAUAUUUACCAAAAUCCUGGAAAAAUAUAUAUUGGUCAAUAUACCACAAUUCCCACAAGAGGUAAAUAUUUACAAAAUCUACUUUGGGCGGUGAUGCUGCAAGAAUAUUAAAAGGCGUUGACUUUAUCGUCAAGUGAAUUAUUUCUUAAUUUUUUAAAAUUUAAAUCACAGUAUAUUUGACAAGCUACAGCAGUAGGAAAACACCUUUGCUUUAAACAAAACUACCUUUUCUCAGCAAGAACAGUUACUAGAGUGGGAAAUAAGGUUAAUUUCAGUUUUAUUAAUAAUAUCUGAAAUGAAAUAAUGUUACAACUCUCCCCUCUAACCUCGUUGCUAGACAACUUAGAAUAUUUAUUUAUUUCUCCUUCAGAGAAAAUAAGAGUGGAUGUUACCUUUAAGCAACAUACACAUUUAAUUAAUGAACACAAGGAAAAUGAUUCCGGUUGUAGUUAAAUCGGGUACAAGCAUAUAGGAUUUAAGAGAUCUGACCUUAGAAAUGAAGAAAAUAUUAUUGUAAUUACUCCAUUUGCUAAAAACAAAUGAUGUGGCAUUUGAAUUUAAGACUUCUAUCAAAAGCAGUUGAGUGUCUGUAAUCAGUUCUCACCUUUACAUUUUAAUGGAGUUGAGGUUGAGCCGUUGCAUUUACAAUUAUCUAGGCUGACUUCAUGCCUUUGAAAUGACUUAAAAAGAUUAGCAUUCAUGGAUUAUUUAUUAGCUCCUCGUGAACGUAUUUCCAAGAAUGGAAACAACGUAUUGCAUCAAAGUCUAGUUUCCAAGUUUAACUCUUUUAAUGAACAGCAUGACUGUACGAUGCUGCAAAAGGCAUCUCUGAAGUCACAGGACAUUUUGUCAUGCUUUUCCCUUCAAGUGCAUCUUUAGUAGCAGUCUUUGUUCCUUGCAAGCUCAGGGAGAAUGUUGAUUCCAGCCCUGGCAGCUGCCCGAGAUGCCCUGUAAACACUACGGCUAGCAGAAAGCAGGCUGCUCAGGGGGGCAAGGCAGCUGAUCCCAGCCUGCUGUAGCUAUCACUGAUAGGGAAUGCCUGUCUGGGGCUCGGCAGAGAACUCAGUGACAUGAUGGCCCUGGCAGUUUAACCCAAACACACUUUUCUGCCUAGAUAACAAAAAUGUCAUGCCUGAGUCCCUGAUAGCAACCCCAGAGGAGCUCCAGGUUUGAGGCAGCGCUGGCAGGACGUGGUCUAUCUGCCAUCUGAAGCCCUUCAUUGCCCGCCUGGCUGUGAAUCUCACCUCCUCUGUAGUGGAAAACAGGCUGAACAGAACUGGCAGGCAGCUUUGCAGGGGAGCUAAGAUUCUUCCGAGAAAAAGCAGAAUGAGAGAGAGAUAUGCAGCUGCAGUGGAGGACUUGGAAGAGAACAACGCCAGGUCCUGGAUCCUGCAAGAAUCUCCUCUGGAAAAGCAGGGGAGAGAAAAGCAAGGAAGGAAGCAGGGUCACCGCAAGUGUGGGAUUUGUCUUAUUAAAAUCUGAUACUGUGUGGCAGUUUGCUUCACUCUUGGUAUAAAAUGUCUGAGCUCCAUGUUAAAGUAAAUGUAAGUAAUAUAAAUCUGCCUUUCCUGAGGUGAAAAUAGAUCCAUAUUAUUUAAAAUAUGAACUGAGAUAGAUGACAGUUACAAACAUUAUACUUGUUCUUAUUAUAAUUCUUACUAAGCUCAAGGAAUAAAAACUGGGAUGAUGAAAAAGAAGUUCUGAAUGUAAAAAUUGGUGUUUUGGAUAAAAUACAAACCAACCCAGAAAUGAUGAAAAAAAUCUGCCCUGCCUGACUUGCUUUGUUGCUUUGCUCAUGGAGAGUUCAGCAAUCGUGUCAUUUAUUCAUUCAUUCACUCACUCACUCACUGACUCAUUCAUUCAGCAGCUAUCCAACCGGAGCUCGCUGUGAGGCAGACACUGUGCUGGGGACACACAAAUGCAUCAGAUGUGGAGUCUGCCCUCAAUGAGCUUAUAAUCUAAUAAGAAAGAGAAGGCAAGUCCACAUGUAACUGUAGUACGAGGCAGGAUGUAAUAACUGCAGAAAGGGACAUGAAAGAAAAUGCCGUGAGGGAUUGCACCUCACUAGGGGGAGGUUUUAUUUGAACUAUCUUCUAAUGGAUGGGCAGAAUUUGGACAGUGGAAGUGGUGGGG
rnacentral:lncRNA from 1 species